rnacentral:lncRNA from 1 species
AUGGACUGUUCUGUGGUGUAGGGGCUAGGGGUUAGGGACAUGGACUGUUCUGUAGUGUAGUGGUUAGGGACAUGGACUGUUCUGUAGUGCAGUGGUUAGGGGUUAGGGACAUGGACUGUUCUGUAGUGUAGGGUUAGGGACAUGGACUGUUCUGUAGUGUAGGGGUUAGGGGUUAGGGACAUGGACUGUUCUGUAGUGUAGGGGUUAAGGACAUGGACUGUUCUGUAGUGUAGUGGUUAGGGACAUGGACUGUUCUGUAGUGCAGUGGUUAGUGGUUAGGGACUUGGACUGUUCUGUAGUGUAGUGGGUUAGGGACAUGGACUGUUCUGUAGUGUAGUCGUUAGGGACAUGGACUGUUCUGUAGUGUAGGGGUUAGGGGUUAGGGACAUGGACUGUUCUGUAGUGUAGUGGUUAGGGACAUGGACUGUUCUGUAGUGUAGUGGUUAGGGGUUAGGGACAUGGUCUGUUCUGUAGUGUAGGGGUUAGAGACAUGGACUGUUCUGUAGUGUAGUGGUUAGGGACAUGGACUGUUCAGUAGUGUAGUGGUUAGGGACAUGGACUGUUCUGUAGUGUAGUGGUUAGGGACAUGGACUGUUCAGUAGUGUAGUUGUUAGGGACGUGGACUGUUCUAUAGUGUAGGGGUUAGGGGUUAGGGACAUGGACUGUUCUGUGGUGUAGGGGCUAGGGGUUAGGGACAUGGACUGUUCUGUAGUGUAGUGGUUAGGGACAUGGACUGUUCUGUAGUGCAGUGGUUAGGGGUUAGGGACAUGGACUGUUCUGUAGUGUAGGGGUUAGGGGUUAGGGAUAUGGACUGUUCUGUAGUGUAGGGGUUAAGGACAUGGACUGUUCUGUAGUGUAGUGGUUAGGGACAUGGACUGUUCUGUAGUGUAGUGGUUAGGGACAUUGACUGUUCAGUAGUGUAGUGGUUAGGGACAUGGACUGUUCUGUAGUGUAGUCGUUAGGGACAUGGACUGUUCUGUAGUGUAGGGGUUAGGUGUUAGGGACAUGGACUGUUCUGUAGUGUAGGGGUUAGGGACAUGGACUGUUCAGUAGUGUAGUGGUUAGGAUAUGGACUGUUCUGUAGUGUAGGGGUUAGGGUUUAGGGACAUGGACUGUUCUGUAAUGUUGUGGUUAAGGGUUAGGGACAUGGACUGUUCUGUAGUGUAGUGGUUAGAGACAUGGACUUUUCUGAAGUGUAGGGGUUAGGGACAUGGACUGUUCUGUAGUGUAUCGGUUAAGGGUUAGGGACAUGGACUGUUCUGUAGUGUAGGGGUUAGGGACAUGGACUUUUCUGAAGUGUAGGGGUUAGGGACAUGGACUGUUCUGUAGUGUAUCGGUUAAGGGUUAGGGACAUGGACUGUUCUGUAGUGUAGGGGUUAGGGGUUAGGGACAUGGACUCUUCUGUAGUGGAGGGGUUAGGGGUUAGGGACAUGGACUGUUCUGUAGUGUAGUGGUUAGGG